UACGUAGGGGGCAAGCGUUGUCCGGAAUCAUUGGGCGUAAAGCGCGUGUAGGCGGUUCGGUAAGUCGGCUGUGAAAGUCCAGGGCUCAACCCUGGGAUGCCGGUCGAUACUGCCGGGCUAGAAUCCGGAAGAGGCGAGUGGAAUUCCCGGUGUAGCGGUGAAAUGCGCAGAUAUCGGGAGGAACACCAAUGGCGAAGGCAGCUCGCUGGGACGGUAUUGACGCUGAGACGCGAAAGCGUGGGGAGCAAACAGGG
rnacentral:rRNA from 1 species